UUUUUUAAUUGAAAACUGGGAUGAAAGGUAGAGACUUUAAAAGAUAGUUUUAUUAUAUAAUUUUGAAAUUUAAUUAGAAGUAAAAAUGCUUUUUUAAAUCUUGGGGACGAGAAGACCCUAAAAGCUUAAAAUUGUAUAAUUUUUAAUUGGGGCAAUUGAUGAAGAAAAAAAUUUUUAUAGAAUAAAUAUAAUGGAAAUAAAGUUACUUUAGGGAUAACAGCGUAAUUUAAUUAGCAAGUUCUUAUUAAAAAUUAGGGUUGCGACCUCGAUGUUGAAUUAAAAUAAAUAUUUGGUGAAGGAGCUAAAAUAUUUGGUCUGUUCGACCAUUAAAAUUUUACGUGAUCUGAGU
rnacentral:rRNA from 1 species